GAAAGCCUGACGGAGCAAUACCGCGUGAGGGAAGAAGGCUCUUGGGUUGUAAACCUCUUUUCUUAGGGAAUAAAAAAAUGAAGGUACCUAAGGAAUAAGCAUCGGCUAACUCCGUGCCAGCAGCCGCGGUAAUACGGAGGAUGCAAGCGUUAUCCGGAAUGAUUGGGCGUAAAGCGUCCGCAGGUGGUACAACAAGUCUAGUGUCAAAGACCGGGGCUCAACCCCGGAAAGGCGGUGGAAACUGUUGAACUAGAGGGUCGUAGGGGUAGAGGGAAUUCCCAGUGUAGCGGUGAAAUGCGUAGAGAUUGGGAAGAACAUCGGUGGCGAAGGCGCUCUACUGGACGGCACCUGACACUCAGGGACGAAAGCUAG
rnacentral:rRNA from 1 species